UCCCAUGUGGCUCAGUUGGUAGAGUGUGGUGCUUGCAACGCCAGGGUUGUGUGUUUGAUUCCCACGGGGGAC
rfam:Salmo salar isolate Sally breed double haploid chromosome ssa28, whole genome shotgun sequence.